GAUGAACGCUGGCGGCGUGCCUAAUACAUGCAAGUCGAGCGAACGGACGCGAAUCUUGCUUCUCUGCUGUUAGCGGCGCACGGGUGAGUAACACGUGGAUAACCUACCUAUAAGCCUGGGAUAACUUCGGGAAACCGUAGCUAAUACCGGAUCAUAUUUUGAACCGCAUGGUUCAAAAGUGAAAGACGGUCUUGCUGUCACUUAUAGAUGGAUCCGCGCUUCAUUAGCUAGUUGGUAAGGUAACGACGUACCAAGGCAACGAUGCAUAGCCGACGUGAGAGGCGGAUAGGCCACACGGGACCUGCGACGCGGACCAGACUCCUACGGGAGCCAGGAGUAGGGAAUCGGACGCAAUAGGGGAAAGCCUGACGGAGCAACGCCGCGUGCGUGAGAAAGGUCUUCGGAUCGUAAAACUCUUCUAUUAGGGAAGAACAUAUGUGUAAGUAGCUGUGCACAUCUGUACGGUACCUAAUCAGAAAGCAACGGCUAACUACGUG
rnacentral:rRNA from 1 species